UUGAGAGGGAAGAUCGAAGUAUUAAGGACUUCGUCUUCAUCUUCUAACUAAGAAGAUCGAAGCUGAAAGCUUCGUCUCCGGCUAACUAAGAGAGAAGGGAGAGGACCUCGGAAGAGCUUUCUAGAGAGAGAAGCUCUGAGGCUUUACAUUGAAUUAAGCCUAAAGAAACUCUAACACUUGAGUUUCUUUAAAUAGAAAACUGAAAAGUAAAUUACUAUUUGAUUCACGCAGGAAUCACUAUUACAUUAACUGAAGUAAAAGUAAUUUACUUAAGUAAAAGUAAAACGUAAGAAACAUUUUACAUUUACUUUUACAUUGGUAAAUGUUAAAAACAUUUAACUUAAGUAAAAGCAAAAGUUAUUCUUUUACUUUUACUUUUACAUUUACUAAAGUAAAAGACUUUUGCUUUACGGAAAGCAAAAGCUGAGAUGAUGGCUGGGCCAUCACCUGUCUGUGACUGAAGAUGCCUCUGGCGUCUUCUUCGUUGACUGGUCCGUCUCCU
rnacentral:lncRNA from 1 species